rnacentral:rRNA from 1 species
AACGAACGCUGGUGGCAUGCCUAACACAUGCAAGUCGAACGAGACCUUCGGGUCUAGUGGCGCACGGGUGCGUAACGCGUGGGAACCUGCCCUUAGGUUCGGAAUAACUCCCCGAAAGGGGUGCUAAUACCGGAUAAUGUCUUCGGACCAAAGAUUUAUCGCCUUUGGAUGGGCCCGCGUUGGAUUAGCUAGUUGGUAGGGUAAAAGCCUACCAAGGCGACGAUCCAUAGCUGGUCUGAGAGGAAGAUCAGCCACACUGGGACUGAGACGCGGCCCAGACUCCUACGGGAGGCAGGAGUGGGGAAUAUUGGACAAUGGGCGGAAGCCUGAUCCAGCAAGGCCGGUAGAGUGAUGAAGGCCUUAGAGUUGUAAAGCUCUUUUACCCGGGAUGAUAAUGACAGUACCGGGAGAAUAAGCUCCGGCUAACUCCGUG